rnacentral:rRNA from 1 species
UCUGGCUCAGGAUGAACGCUGGCGGCGUGCCUAAUACAUGCAAGUCGAACGAGCGAGAUCCAGCUUGCUGGAUUAGCGAGUGGCGAACGGGUGAGUAAUACGUAAGCAACCUGCCUACACGGACUGGGAUAACACCUGGAAACGGGCGCUAAUACCGGAUAGGUAACGAGAGGGCAUCCUCUUGUUAUUAAAGGUUUGAAACACAAGUAGAUGGGCUUACGGUGCAUUAGCUAGUUGGUGAGGUAACGGCCCACCAAGGCGAUGAUGCAUAGCCGGCCUGAGAGGGUGAACGGCCACAUUGGGACUGAGACACGGCCCAGACUCCUACGGGAGGCAGCAGUAGGGAAUUUUCGGCAAUGGGCGCAAGCCUGACCGAGCAACGCCGCGUGAAGUGAAGAAGGUUUUCGGAUCGUAAAGCUCUGUUGUAAGGGAAGAAUGGCGCGGAUAGACUCCGCGAUUGACGGUACCUUACCAGAAAGCCACGGCUAACUACGUGCCAGCCGCUGC